rnacentral:rRNA from 1 species
UGGCGGCGUGCUUAACACAUGCAAGUCGAACGAUGAUGGAGGGCUUGCUCUUCGGAUUAGUGGCGAACGGGUGAGUAACACGUGAGCAACCUGCCCCGGACUCUGGGAUAAGCGCUGGAAACGGCGUCUAAUACCGGAUAUGAACCACAGCCGCAUGGUUGGUGGUUGGAAAGAUUUUUUGGUUCGGGAUGGGCUCGCGGCCUAUCAGCUUGUUGGUGAGGUAAUGGCUCACCAAGGCGUCGACGGGUAGCCGGCCUGAGAGGGUGACCGGCCACACUGGGACUGAGACACGGCCCAGACUCCUACGGGAGGCAGCAGUGGGGAAUAUUGCACAAUGGGCGGAAGCCUGAUGCAGCAACGCCGCGUGAGGGAUGACGGCCUUCGGGUUGUAAACCUCUUUUAGCAAGGAAGAAGCGAAAGUGACGGUACUUGCAGAAAAAGCGCCGGCUAACUACGUGCCAGCAGCCGCGGUAAUACGUAGGGCGCAAGCGUUAUCCGGAAUUAUUGGGCGUAAAGAGCUCGUAGGCGGUUUGUCGCGUCUGCUGUGAAAACUGGAGGCUCAACCUCCAGCCUGCAGUGGGUACGGGCAGACUAGAGUGCGGUAGGGGAGAUUGGAAUUCCUGGUGUAGCGGUGGAAUGCGCAGAUAUCAGGAGGAACACCGAUGGCGAAGGCAGAUCUCUGGGCCGUAACUGACGCUGAGGAGCGAAAGGGUGGGGAGCAAACAGGCUUAGAUACCCUGGUAGUCCACCCCGUAAACGUUGGGAACUAGUUGUGGGGGCCAUUCCACGGUCUCCGUGACGCAGCUAACGCA